CAUGCGCACAGAACGUUUAGUAAAGGCGUAAAGCAAGUUGCAAGCGUUCAAAUAAAUUGCAUGCGCACAGAAUGUUUAGUAAAGGCGUAAAGCACAGAAUGUUUAGUAAAGGCGUAAAGCACAGAAUGUUUAGUAAAGGCGUAAAGCACAGAAUGUUUAGUAAAGGCGUAAAGCAAGUUGCAAGCGUUCAAAUAAAUUGCAUGCGCACAGAACGUUUAGUAAAGGUGUAAAGCAAGUUGCAAGCGUUCAAAUAAAUUGCAUGCGCACAACGUUUAGUAAAGGCGUAAAGCACAGAACGUUUAGUAAAGGCGUAAAGCAAGUUGCAAGCGUUCAAAUAAAUUGCAUGCGCACAGAACGUUUAGUAAAGGUGUAAAGCAAGUUGCAAGCGUUCAAAUAAAUUGCAUGCGCACAGAACGUUUAGUAAAGGCGUAAAGCAAGUUGCAAGCGUUCAAAUAAAUUGCAUGCGCACAGAACGUUUAGUAAAGGCGUAAAGCACAGAAUGUUUAGUAAAGGCGUAAAGCAAGUUGCAAGCGUUCAAAUAAAUUGCAUGCGCACAGAACGUUUAGUAAAGGUGUAAAGCAAGUUGCAAGCGUUCAAAUAAAUUGCAUGCGCACAGAACGUUUAGUAAAGGCGUAAAGCAAGUUGCAAGCGUUCAAAUAAAUUGCAUGCGCACAGAACGUUUAGUAAAGGCGUAAAGCAAGUUGCAAGCGUUCAAAUAAAUUGCAUGCGCACAGAACGUUUAGUAAAGGUGUAAAGCAAGUUGCAAGCGUUCAAAUAAAUUGCAUGCGCACAGAACGUUUAGUAAAGGCGUAAAGCAAGUUGCAAGCGUUCAAAUAAAUUGCAUGCGCACAGAACGUUUAGUAAAGGUGUAAAGCAAGUUGCAAGCGUUCAAAUAAAUUGCAUGCGCACAGAACGUUUAGUAAAGGCGUAAAGCAAGUUGCAAGCGUUCAAAUAAAUUGCAUGCGCACAGAACGUUUAGUAAAGGUGUAAAGCAAGUUGCAAGCAUAAGAAACAAAUAUUAGCCAUACAGUCAAGUGUUGUGAAUCUGUAAUUUCGUAUUAACAGAGUAAAUGUUGUUUGUAUUCUUCUGACUUCCUUUUUUCACGCUUACACUUUUGGCUCUGUUCUUGUACCUAAACUUUCCAAAAACAUUGCAAACCUGCAACAGCGAUAUGCAAGUAAAGAAAGGGUGUCAUGAACAGCAAAACAGACUGACCAUGUAGAAUCAGUCUGUAUGUGUAAAAUAAACUAUUGCAAACGUGUAAAUAACUUGUGUUUGUGGCAUAAAUAUUUUCAGAAAUAAUCCGAUGUACACUGUUCCGUCUUCCCUUUGUUGCACUCACACUUUUGGGAUGAAUUUCUCACUGAGAAGAGUUUUGCAAGUGCGGGAGGGAAGGCGGGUCUACCUGCUUCUUGAAAACCAAUCAAAUUAGGUUUUUCUUGACCAGUUUACUCUGAUCUGAUUGGUUUAACAACGUGACAGACAGUUUAUUCUUCAUAUGGCUCAGUGUCGUUCUUCUGGGUAUCUCUCCUCUCUUAAAUAUUAAACUGAAAUAUGAACACAUGCAUGUUCUUAUUUUGAGAGUAAAGUUGAGCUGACACCUUUUAUUGAUAUAAAUAUGAUUCUCAAUCUAGUGUUCAAAUGUUUCUUGUUGCUGUUCAUUAUUUUAAUUAUAAUUUAAUUACUUUCGAUUAUCAUUGGGAUGGCAGAUGGAUGGAUGGAACUUGCUGGUGUCAUUGGAAGAGUCCAGCGUAUUUACAUGACAGUAGCAUUUAAAUCUGAAAUCAAUGAUACCAAGAGAAUUGAAAAGUAAUUCAUAGAAAAUGUGUGUAGACUUUGAAUUUCUGUCUAUCUAAAAGUAAUGAUUAGUCCAUAAUUCGGAGUAUCGUUCACAGUAA